AAGAAAACUCAGGAGAGGAGAGACUCGAGAAAGAAAAGAUUUAAAAACAGGAUUUAUCCUUGAUGUCUGAGAUAUAAAUAUUCUGAAGUGAUGGAAAAAUUACAAGCAGCUAUUAAAGUGAGUGAUUCCAAGCAGUGUUAAGAGGGGCUCAUCCCACCAGUGUUGACCUACUUCUGAGGGGACAGGAAGCCACCAUCAGGAUCAGCUACUGGACAAAGCAGAAUUUAAAGAGACCAAAUUAGCUCCAGAGUAAAUCUACUAAAUGAUAUCCUCACUUGCUGCUCUGAAGCACACUGCUUUCUACAAGGUCCCAGACUACAAACAGAAGACUAUUGAGCUCUUUGAAACUUCAUAAGAAGGAAGAGUUUUCCUCCAUCUCAAAACAGUUGAUUCAUGGAUUAAAUUUCUAGCACUUGGACUUUUGGGAACACAUUCAUUCCAUACCAGAAGAAUCCCUUUCACAUGAUUUUGGUUACUAAUUUGAAUAAAUAAAAAGAAAGAAAACA